rfam:Oryzias latipes DNA, chromosome14, strain: Hd-rR.
CCAAAGGCUCUUUUAAGAGCCACCAACCCACUCAGGGCUUUCCUC